rnacentral:lncRNA from 1 species
GUAACUUGUCUAUUUUUGGCCAAAGAAACGCUAGACAAAUUUGAACUCAUCCGUUCAAGGUUAUUGCUUUCAUCAAUUCAAUUGUUAAUUUAGCGUCGAUCCACAGCUGACUGGUAAUGCAGAGCAAAGGUCAUCAUCGAGGUCACAAGUGUCAGGACCAUUAAGAUGUCAAUAGCCAAUAGCCCUGGGCAAACAAUGUUUUUAUGAAAUAGCUGAGAAAAUCACC